UUCACUUCUUGGCCUUUUGGCUAAGAUCAAGUGUAGUAUCUGUUCUUACCAGUUCAAUAUCUGAUACAUCCUCUGUCUGAGGACAAUAUAGUCGAUGGAUUUGGGCAACUAAAAGUUGGAAUAGAGGUUUGCUCCUUUCACUUCACACAUCGACCUGGUAUUGUAGUACUUACAGGAAUAGUGCACUCCUG
rfam:Erinaceus europaeus unplaced genomic scaffold scaffold00518, whole genome shotgun sequence